GGGGUUGGAGAUCUCAAAUGUGGUGAUGUUGGAGAGACCAAUUGAUUGGGGAGAUGUUUUAUAUGAGCAAGGACUUGGUGAGGUAUUUAUGAAAUAACUUCCAUGCUCACUGUUGUUUCUCUCAUUCUCAAACUCCAAGGAUGAUUCUUCACGAAUGCUUAAAAUUCCUCUAGGAUUGUCUCUCAAGUUUGUUUUAUCUAUCCAUUCAAUGGUGAUAGCACAUAGAUUUUUAAUGCCCUCUAGCCAUUGAUGUUGCUCUUCUCGAUCCUCCUUCUUAUGCAUGGGAUGUCUAGAGAGAUUCAUAGGAUUAUCGGGAGAUUCAAGAGAAAGAGCAUAGUAGAAACUAUUAAGCUCAAGGAUGGGAUGGAUAGCCGAAUCAUGGGAUUGAAAUGUUUGGAAAUUGGCUAUUGAAACUUCCUUUCCUCGUUUGGGAGAUGAUUCCUUCUCUAUCUCUAAGAUUUUUCUAUGAAGACUAGUACAAGAAGGAUGUCCACGAAUGAAGACAUACCUUGCUUUACUAAGAGAUAAAGAAAGAAAAACUCUACCAAAGGUUAUAUGAUUAAGACCAAUGUGAAAAUAUCCAGGGAAAACAUGGUCUUGUAGGGCUAGGUCUAAACCAGAAUUUAUAGAAAGAUUAAAAGAUUCCCUAGGUGUAGCUAAAAGUGCAUUAUCUUCUUGAUUAAAAGAUAGGACCUCGGCUAUAGAAAAGGGUUGGUUUUGACCUAUUGCAAUCAACUCCGGACUCAGAUCAUAUUAGGGGCAGGACUUGUUGACUCCCAUGGUCUAUGGCUGGUUUCCGAAGGUGCAAAGAAUUCAAUAAUAGGUAUGGAAUUUAAGUUAUCCAUAAAGAUAGAAAAAAUAAAAAGAUAAAAGAAUAAAAGUAUAAAAGUAUAAUACAAGAUAAUAGCAAGAUUCAAAGUUAUCUCAGCAAACCGUCUUUCUCCCCGGCAACGGCGCCAGAAAUGCUUGUUGACAUUUGGUAACGCAAUAAGGAAAUGAUCCGCAAGCGCAC
rnacentral:lncRNA from 1 species